rnacentral:rRNA from 1 species
CGCUGAGUUUGAUCCUGGCUCAGGAUGAACGCUAGCGGCAGGCUUAACACAUGCAAGUCGAGGGGUAUAGUUCUUCGGAACUAGAGACCGGCGCACGGGUGCGUAACGCGUAUGUAAUCUACCUUUUACAGAGGGAUAGCCCAGAGAAAUUUGGAUUAAUACCUCAUAGUAUGUGAGAAUCGCAUGGUUUUCACAUUAAAGUUCCAACGGUAAAAGAUGAGUAUGCGUCCCAUUAGCUAGAUGGUAAGGUAACGGCUUACCAUGGCAACGAUGGGUAGGGGUCCUGAGAGGGAGAUCCCCCGACACUGGUACUGAGACACGGACCAGACUCCGUACGGGAGGCAGCAGUGAGGAAUAUUGGACAAU